rnacentral:rRNA from 1 species
GAUGAACGCUGGCGGCGUGCCUAAUACAUGCAAGUCGAGCGAACAGAUGAGGAGCUUGCUCCUCUGACGUUAGCGGCGGACGGGUGAGUAACACGUGGAUAACCUACCUAUAAGACUGGGAUAACUUCGGGAAACCGGAGCUAAUACCGGAUAAUAUAUUGAACCGCAUGGUUCAAUAGUGAAAGACGGUUUUGCUGUCACUUAUAGAUGGAUCCGCGCCGCAUUAGCUAGUUGGUAAGGUAACGGCUUACCAAGGCAACGAUGCGUAGCCGACCUGAGAGGGGGAUCGGCCACACUGGAACUGAGACACGGUCCAGACUCCUACGGGAGGCAGCAGUAGGGAAUCUUCCGCAAUGGGCGAAAGCCUGACGGAGCAACGCCGCGGGAGUGAUGAAGGUCUUCGGAUCGUAAACUCUGUUAUUAGGGAAGAACAAAUGUGUAAGUAACUAUGCACGUCUUGACGGUACCUAAUCAGAAAGCCACGGCUAACUACGUG